rnacentral:rRNA from 1 species
UACGUAGGCAGCGAGCGUUGUUCGGAAUUACUGGGCGUAAAGAGUGUGUAGGCGGUGCUCUAAGUUCGGUGUGAAAUCUCCUGGCUCAACUGGGGGGGUGCGCCGGAAACUGGAGUGCUUGAGCGUGGGAGAGGAAAGCGGAAUUCCUGGUGUAGCGGUGAAAUGCGUAGAUAUCAGGAGGAACACCAAUGGCGAAGGCAGCACUCUGGGACGUGACUGACGCUGAGACGCGAAAGCGUGGGGAGCAAACAGG